CACGUAGGGCGCAAGCGUUGUCCGGAAUUAUUGGGCGUAAAGAGCUCGUAGGCGGACUGUCACGUCUGCUGUGAAAAGCUGGGGCUUAACCCUGGCCUUGCAGUGGAUACGGGCAGACUAGAGGUAGGUAGGGGAGAAUGGAAUUCCCGGUGUAGCGGUGAAAUGCGCAGAUAUCGGGAGGAACACCGGUGGCGAAGGCGGCGAUCUGGGUCGAUACUGACGCUGAGGUGCGAAAGCGUGGGGAGCAAACAGG
rnacentral:rRNA from 1 species